UUUCUGUGCAACGUCAUCGCAGAUGUGCGCGCGCAGCCAGGGGGCAGAAAGCGGGACAUUUGUCAUUUGUUUACCAGCGGAGUCAGCGGAGAACGAAAAUGACAAGGAGCUGUUGUGCUGUAAACUGCACGAAUCGGCAAAAGGAUGGAUGGAAACUGUUUAAUAUCCCGAGAGGAUCUCAUCCUUUUGCCAAGAGAAGAAGAAGAUUGUGGCUCCAGGCCAUUAAAAGGGCGGAUUGGCCGUCCCGAAGGUCCUAAAGGCGGCGAGAGUCUGUGCAGCGCCCACUUCGUUUCUGGGUCACCGUCCAUGGAUUGUGAUAGUCCAGAUUUUGUUCCAUCCGUUUUUUCACACAGCAGCAACUGAGACAUCUCGGGAAAGGUGGCAAGAUAUGAAAGAAAGAGAAUAAGAGAUGAAGAUAAGGCCCCUGCUACCUGCCCCACAAGCCAGCCUGAAGCAGAUACUGCAGAUUCUUCUGAAGAUGAAUGUAAGUUUGUGUCCAGAAAAGAGAUGCACCAACUCAACCUGCAGUACAACCAGCUCCGUGAUGAUUAUGAAGCUCUGAAAAGAGAACUGUAUGCCACACAGGAAGAAAAUAAACAUCUGAAGGAGCAACUGAAGCAGUCCAAGUUUGGGUUUGAUUCCAUAAAAGACACAAAUGCUAAAAUAUUUUUUUUUACUGGUUUACAAUCAUUACAAAUGGUUAUGUGGCUGCUGGAUAUUGUAAAAAGAAGCACACUUGUGCUUAAGGGUGGGUUAAGUUGGGAGAACCACCUCCUUUUGGUUCUAAUGAAAGUAAGACUUGGACUCACCAACAGAGACCUUGCCUACAGAUUUGGGCUUCCAUUCUCAACUGUAUCAAAAAUACUAAGAGACUGGAUACCCAUGUUGUCCUCAAUAGUGAAACCUUUGAU